rnacentral:piRNA from 1 species
UGCCUUUGUGAGCGGUUAGAUGAUGCUCGUU